rnacentral:rRNA from 1 species
GGAUGACGUCAAGUCCUCAUGGCCCUUACGGGCUGGGCUACACACGUGCUACAAUGGUGGUGACAGUGGGCAGCGAACACGCGAGUGUGAGCUAAUCUCCAAAGGCCAUCUCAGUUCGGAUUGCACUCUGCAACUGGAGUGCAUGAAGUUGGAAUCGCUAGUAAUCGCGGAUCAGCAUGCCGCGGUGAAUACGUUCCCGGGCCUUGUACACACCGCCCGUCACACCAUGGGAGUUGGUUUUACCCGAAGGCGCUGUGCUAACCGCAAGGAG